rnacentral:rRNA from 1 species
UACGGCUCAGUAACACGUAGUCAACCUGCCCUGGAGACAUGGACAACCCCGGGAAACUGGGAUUAAUCCGUGAUAGGUCAUCUCAUCUGGAAGGAGAGAUGGCUUAAAGGGGUACACGAGCUUCUUCUGUGAAUCUGCUCCAGGAUGGGACUGCGUCCGAUCAGGCUGUUGGCGGGGUAAUGGCCCACCAAACCUGUAACCGGUACGGGCUUUGAGAGAAGUAGCCCGGAGAUGGACACUGAGAGAAGGGUCCAGGUCCUACGGGGCGCAGCAGGCGCGAAACCUUCGCAAUGCGCGAAAGCGUGACGAGGUUAAUCCGAGUGAUUUCCGCUGAGGAGAUCUUUUGUCAGCUGUAAAAAGGCAGGCGAAUAAGGGGAGGGCAAGCCUGGUGUCAGCCGCCGCGGUAAUACCAGCUCCUCGAGUGGUCGGGGCGAUUAUUGGGCCUAAAGCAUCCGUAGCCGGUUCCGUAGGUCCUCUGUUAAAUCCAACUGCUUAACAGUUGACCUGCAGAGGAUACCGCGGGACUAGGAGGCGGGAGAGGCGGACGGUACUCCGCGUGUAGGGGUAAAAUCCUUUGAUCCGCGGAAGACCACCAGUGGCGAAGGCGGUCCGCCAGAACGCGCUCGACGGUGAGGGAUGAAAGCUGGGGGAGCGAACCGGAUUAGAUACCCGGGUAGUCCCAGCCGUAAACGAUGCUAGCUAGAUGAUUCAUUCGCAAGUCGCGAAUGAAGUGUCGCAGGGAAGCCGUUAAGCUAGCCGCCUGGGGAGUACGGUCGCAAGACUGAAACUUAAAGGAAUUGGCGGGAUU